AGGUAGGUGACUGAGUGGUCUAAUGCGACAGACUAGAAAUCUAUCUCCUUCAGAAGCGCCUGUUCGAACCGGGCCCUGCGAG